rnacentral:lncRNA from 1 species
GGCGUCACGUGACUAGCUGCGCUGGUGCACGCAGCCGGGAGGGGCGGGCUCCUUCCCCUGGCAAGCCGGAAGCUCCGCACCUACACUUGGUAGAAUGCACCGGUGAAGCUAUCUGGUCCUGCGCUUUUCUUUGUGCCCCAGCCCGGCCCUUGCAGCUGCAGAGAUGUUGAUGCCUAAGAAGAACCGGAUUGCCAUUUAUGAACUCCUUUUUAAGGAGGGAGUCAUGGUGGCCAAGAAGGAUGUCCACAUGCCUAAGCACCCGGAGCUGGCAGACAAGAAUGUGCCCAACCUUCAUGUCAUGAAGGCCAUGCAG